rnacentral:rRNA from 1 species
AACGAACGCUGGCGGCAGGCUUAACACAUGCAAGUCGAGCGCCCCGCAAGGGGAGCGGCAGACGGGUGAGUAACGCGUGGGAACGUACCUUUUGGUUCGGAACAACUCCGGGAAACUGGAGCUAAUACCGGAUAAGCCCUAACGGGGAAAGAUUUAUCGCCGAAAGAUCGGCCCGCGUCUGAUUAGCUAGUUGGUGAGGUAACGGCUCACCAAGGCGACGAUCAGUAGCUGGUCUGAGAGGACGAUCAGCCACACUGGGACUGAGACACGGCCCAGACUCCUACGGGAGGCAGCAGUGGGGAAUAUUGGACAAUGGGCGCAAGCCUGAUCCAGCCAUGCCGCGUGAGUGAUGAAGGCCUUAGGGUUGUAAAGCUCUUUUGUCCGGGAAGAUAAUGACUGUACCGGAAGAAUAAGCCCCGGCUAACUUCGUG